UUUUUCCUUCCCCUCCCCCAUGGUCUUCUGUUAAGCUUCUCAGGAUCCACAUAAGAGUGAAAACAUGGUAUCUGUCUUUCUCAAGUCUUGAUUUCAGCUCAUCUCAUGAUCUCAUAGUCGUGGAAUCGAGUCCCACAUUGGGCUUUGCGCUGAGAGUGGAGUCUCUUUAAGAUUCUCUCCUUCUGCCUCUCCUCCCUGCUCCCAUUCUCUCUCUUUCUUUCUCUCUUUCUAAAUAAAUAAAUAAAUAAGUAAAUAAAUAAAUAAAUAAUUUUUAAAAAGAAACCAUUUUUUAUUUGACAGCAUAUGGAAUUUUAAGGUCAUUUUCAAAUUACUAAAUUUUUUUAAAUGUUUAUGUGUAUACUAAAGUGUAUUUUGACCAUUCUGGAGCUGGAAAAUAUGAUUCUGAUGAGCUAAUCUCUCUCAUUCCUUUUGCUGGGUUGCAAAGUAUGAACCACAUCAGACGGUGACCAUUCAGCUAGACCACAGUCUCCUUUAAUGAUUCAUCCACCCCAACACUCAACGAUCCAGACUGUUGGCAUCUUUUACUAUAUAUACCUUGACACUUGACCUACCCAUUUUUUUUCCAGUUUUACACAGUUUGUAAACCUCCCUAGUCUAAUAAUAAUUCCUAAUAGACUUGAACGUUGUUAUUAACUGACCCCAGACCUAAUUUUUGGUAAAGCGAGCAACCCUAACAAUUCUCGUAAGUAUUUAACAUUUCUCGUAAGUAUUUUCAUCCUUUUGCAUAUUUUAGGGUAUGCAUUACUAAUCAUAAUUGAGAUUAUUAUAAAGCUUCAUAGUUUAUUAUGCACUUUCCUACUCAUGUUCUCUUUUAUCUGGUCCUUCCACAAACAUUGUGAUAAACAGGGAGAUGAGUUGUUCACGGCACUGAGACCAGGAAGGAAGAAAUCUGGAAGGAGGACGAAGGAACGCUUGCAUGAAAUGAAGGCUCAGGCAGACUGGAGAUGUCACCUCCUUGAGGACAACUCGAUCCUUUUCAUCACGGCUAGCCUCUUCAUGUUUGUUGGAAGGAUGCUGCUUCCUUUCCAUACUGCCUGAACUAGAAGAGAAGUUCUUGUUCAAGAAGUUCUUGAAUCUCCUGCAUUCUCAGGAAGAGGGAAAACAGCAUUCAACACCGAAGUUGGCCAGUGGGAUUUUCACAUCCUUAGACAAAGCUCGGUAGCUUUCAUCAGGGAGAGAUGCUAACGGAUCACAGCCGGAACACGUACCUAAGAAUGGACACAACCUGUAACCACCAAGUAGAGAGACAGGCAUGAGCGGGGCAGGGGCAGAGAGAGAGGGAGACACAGAAUCCGAAGCAGGCUCCAGGCUCUGAGCCGUCAGCACAGAGCCCAACGCGGGGCUCGAGCUCACAGACUGCGAGAUCGUGACCUGAGCCGAAGUUUGACGCUCAACCGACUGAGCCACCCAGACGCCCCAAAUAUUUACAUUUUUAAAGGACUGUGGCAAGGGAAUGAAGCUCUUACACCUACUGGACUACUGUAGGGUUGUUGGGAGCUAUACUUUGGGAAAAGUUGUGAGUCUCUCCUGAGGCCAGUGUGGAAAUAUCCCCGUCCUUCCAGUUAGAUGAAGACAAGAGUUGGAAAUGAGUCUGGACUCAUGUUCCCUUCAUUUUCAGCUUUGGAAACCUGGAGAUCCAAGGACGAGAAGAUCUGAGACCAAGAGUAGUUUCGAGCACACAAAACACAGCAAGAUCUAGAACUCCUACUUCUUCACACUUUCCUGCACAUACCAGAGCAGCCCGUGAUCGAUAGAAUUUCACGAGGAACGUAAGCCACCGACCAAGGAGGACACAUGUUUAGGUACUUCCUGACAACGCGAAUCAAAAUAAUAUAUUCAGUGGCAACUUCAGAAGGGAAGUAUGUGAAAUUCACUUUGGGAAGUGUGAACAAUAUUUGGAUGAAAUAAGAAUCCUCUGGGUGUCAAAUUGAAAUUCGCCCAGAGUAUGGGUGAGACUUUAGCACACAGGUUUGACUUUUGAUUCAUAACAGACUUCUGAUGUAGUUCGUAACCAUUUUUAAGAUAUUUAAGGGAGCGUAAGCUGGAUAAGUCAGAAGCUCACUCCAGCACGCAUUUCUUCAUAAACAAUAUACACACUUGAAGAUAAUUAGCCCCAGCUGUUGGGGCAUAUUUCAAUAUAUUUGACUCACAGAGGCUGAAAAUAGUAUUGAUGUUUUAUUGCACUGAAGGAUAAAAUCAUCAAAAAACAGAUUAUAACUACAGAACUCAUAAAAAAUGGAAUAUGGAAGAAUGGAUGGAGAUCCAGACAGAGGUGGGAGAUCUCCUUUCUGGAAAACCAACCAGUUCAAGAGAGGAGACCACCAGACAAUGCCAUUUAGGCAUCCUCCAAUGAUAUGUCCUACUCAUCAGGGUCACCCAGCCCUGGAGACCUUCACAGAACAAGCCGCAUUCCUACUUAAGUGUCACGGUGGCAAUGUUCUUUCCAUGGCGGAGAAAACAGCAGUUUUGCGUGACAUUGGUGAUUGGUCACGAGGUCCACAUCGCCAGCACGCCUACACCACUUUGAAAACCUGCGCCUUCUGUCCCCAGUCCCUGAAUCCCAUCAUCAAGGCUCUCAACCUGUUCUGCAAAUUCUCACCAAAGGUGCAGAUUCUUCUUUGUGGCUCGUACCUCCAUUUUAUGCCCCUGGAAGUGUAGUAGAUAUUCAGGGCACACAGGACAUCUUCAAUUCCCUUCAUCAACACUCUUGUCAAAGAGAAGCUUCUACUAACCUCUGCUGCGUAUACAUGCUGCUACUUGCAUUCGGAAAACACUGCCCCCCCCCCCCCCCUUCUGGGCCUGGCCAGCUACUCGAGGUCCCCAGGCAGGGACGAGAGAAUUCCGGUUGCUGCCUUCUUCAGACAGAAGCCAUGUAGUAACCCUUCAGCCAGAAAUCAACAAGAAGUUCUGGUUUCACAUGUAAAUUUCAACUUCACUGAGAUGGUCUUGAGAACACACGGAAAAGACUGCGGCCAAGGGCCCCAGGUGGCCUGGGGCAGCUUGAGGCGUAUGUGGAUCAAGGGCACCCCUCGUCAUGGAGUGGCCGCAUCUUUGGCAUGGGGACGGGCGGAAAACAAGCUUCACCCGCUUCCUGCCUGGUGUGUGGUCAGUGCCUGAGGACUGUGGACCAUUUGAGCUUUAUUUAGUGACCGGGAUGACUCAUUCCCCAAAUCGCAGAAAUACGGGUUUUCCGUGGCAGUCAGCAUUUCUGGUUUCUGAUCCUGAGGAGAUUCCAUGGGCAUUAACACUGGCCAGAAGAAAACCGUGCAGCACCAAUGCGUGACUUCCCUUUCCUUACGGAGGGCAAGCGAUGUAAGUGAGGAUUUCAGUAUAACAAAGAGGAAAAAUUCUCCAUUUAUCAAGAUGCCCCAAAGCCGUCUUCUGGGAAAACUGUCACAAAAACCUUACAUAUCUACAAUGACUUGAAGGUUCAUGACAGUGUCUGGGGAUGUCUGGUGCCCAACGUGAUGUGUGCAGUGAACCGUAGUCCCUGAUAGACACCACUGCAGACAUUAAAGAAAGUGACAGAAAAUCUUGGGAUGUCUGAGCCACUGCCAGACGGCGACAGAUCUUGCAAGACCUGCCUCCCCUCUCAUCUCUCAGGAACUCAGCUGAUUGAAGGAAGCCACCUGUUCCCAGGCCACCGCCGCUCCCUGUAAUCAAGAAAUAACCACGCUGGGGAGAAAUAUCUCUUUGUUGGUUCUGGUUAAACUGAACCAUUUCUUUUUUGCUUCAUGCUCAAGGAGACCUGCGACACCUAAUUUUAAGACUUUGCUAACCAGACACCCAUGUAGAGUAAAACCUUGGGUUGCGAGUAACGUGUUCUUCGAGUGUUCCGCGAGGCGAGCAAACCUUUCCGAUACAUUUUAACUUCAAAAACGAGCGAUGUCUUGCAAUGACUGGCCCCCAGGCCAGGCAGCCAGCCAAGAGCACCCUGUCCAAAGGGCUAAAAAUCAUAGGAGCUGAUACGUAUUGAAUCCUACCUAAGUGCCAGGCGCUGUCUUCUUGAAGCUGAAGAAUUUGUCUUCUCAACACGACGGCCUUAUCAGCUGCUGGUUCCUCUCAGAGUACCUGUGCUGGGGCACACAGAGGGAGCUCCAGCCCUGAGAAGCUAAACGAUCUUCCGGGAAAGGCAGGUAACGUUACGAAAGAGGUGUUUGUGGUGGUUUGCUAACCAUCUCUCAUCCUUUGUAUGGCUUCCGAUGUUUUGACUUCAUACGGUGACUUUCUCAGCAGGGAGUCUAUUGACCCCCUCGGAACAUGGGCCAAACCUGUGUGUUACUUUCAAUGGCGGAAAAAUGAUGCUGGGUGGGUUCCACAGUAGAGGCCUCAAGAUGCCUGGUGGCUUCUGCCUCAUGUGUCCACCCCUGUGGCUGAGCUGUCAGAAAUGCCUGGUCUGAAAAUGGAUGGGCCUCAAGAACUUGCUGGCUGGGAAACCUAGAAUGGCAGGGCUCAGCACCUCUCCAAAGAUAUGCUAAGGAACGAAGUGAAGGAGGUCGACUCAGAAGUCAGGGUGGUGGGGCACCUGGGUGGCUGAGUCGGUUAAGCAUCCCACUCUUGAUUUUGGCUCAGGUCAUGAUCUCAGGGUUCAUGAGAUUGAGCCCCUGCAUCAGGCUCUGCACUGAUGGUGUGGAGCCUGCUUGGGAUUCUCUCUCUCCCUCUCUCUCUCUCUGUCUCUCUCUCUUUCUCUCUGCCUCUCUCUUUCUCUCUUUUUCUCUCAAAAUCAAUAAAAUUAUCUUAAAAAAAAAAAAAGAAAUUCAGGGUAGAGGUGGAAAUGUUAUCCACUCAAAGGAAGACCAGCCUCCUGAUUGUCUUAUUCUCUCCAGUGGAGAGCUUUCUAGAGUGUGGUGUUGAUCAUGCUCCUCCCUUGGUUAAGAUGUUUUAAUCACCAGGGCUUAAGGCCAGAGUAUGGGUGGAAUCUUAUGUAAACAUAGCUAAAACAGUAAAAGUAUAAAUCACUUUUAACAAACUAAUGAACAAAAGCUAUCCUGUGAGAUGUAUACCAUUAUGAUGACAAAAUAUCACCACAACAUGUAAAAUCAUGGUUUUCUAUAUGAAUAAAGUCAGAGAAAUAGUAAAACAGCUAACUUAUAUUGUGGUGCAUGUCUGGGUAUUCUGACACAGUCUGAUUAUGUCAGGAUGAUUAGGAGAAUAAAGACACACAAAACAUAUAGCUUGUUAUAUAUUCUAUAAUAUUCAUCUUAGCAAAAUCACUAAUUACAUUUUUUAAUCAAGAUUUUCACAUAAUGUAGGUUGUAGUGAUAGUAAAGAAUUGAAAUUUUAAAAGUGCACAAAUUUAAUUGUGGACAUGUUUUUAUGCAAGAUAUAUGGUAAAGUAAAUGUAAAAAAUGAAAAAUAAAAGUAAUUUUUCAUAUGUCUUUUCAAAAAAGGCUUUUGUCCAGAGGCACCCCAGUGGCUCAGUCGGUUAAGUGUCUGAUUUGGGCUCAGGUCAUGAUCUUGCCGUCUGUGAGUUCAAGCCCUGCAUCAGGCUCUGUGCUGACCGCUCGGAGCCUGGAGCCUACUUCGGAUUCUGUGUCUCCCUCUCUCUCUGCCCCUCCCCUGCUUGUACUCUCUCUCGAAAAUAAACAUUAAAAUUUUUUUUUAAAAUGGCUUUUGUCCAAAAAGGUCAAAGGUAUCUGUGAAAUGAAAAGGCAAAGUCCAAAUUAUAAUGAAAGAAUAUCAAAAUAAGACAUUUUAAAAUAAAGCCUUUACCCUCAUGGACCAGGUUUGCCCGCAGGCAUUGCAGGAGGAGAGGCCACCAGGAGAAAAAGCGAAUCACAGAGUUGAAAGCCCUAAUCCUGUUAGACCCUGGAAGGAGGUUCAGACGCCCCAGUUGAGCACAGGUGUGCCCAGGUGAACCCAAGCUCCGAUGGACCCGUCAGCUGAAUGCUCCCUCUUGAGAAAGUCCCGGGAAGAUGAGCAAAUCAGCCCCUGGCCAAUACACAGAAUCCUAAGAAAUAAUACCUCAUUAUUAGAAAUCUGAGACAGUAUUAUUUCUAUUUCCAAACAUGGAAGGAAAACAGACAAGAAAAAAAAAAAAAAGGCUUGCCCAGUGCAAUGCUGUCACUUCCUGCAGGAGCUCUGGUUGUGAACAAAGUCUCCAUAAUCCUUUUCCCUUCCUGCUAUUUCUUAGAAAACUGCAGGGAAUCUUCAAGAAAAUGAGGAAAACUGAAAUUAGGUAUGGAUUAUUGCCUUGGCCCAUAUCUGUCAGGUAAAGUUAAUCCUCAGUUUUAGAUGCUCUGACACUUGUAGAGCAGCAAAACAUUAGGAGCAAAGUUUUUAUUGGCACUGAGUUAAUGUAGGAAUGGAUAUAUGUCAAAUGAACUAAAUAAGGUGACAAGAAAGAGUGCUUGGCAAAAUCUCUUGCACUAACAUAUGUAUUCUUUCAUUUUUUAUCCGCACGCAUAUAGACUUGACCGAAAAUUAGAACUCAUUAUAUCCAGGGAAACCAUGUGCUUCUGGUUCUGUAAAACUUAUUAUCUGAGGCAUCAUUAAUCAAACAUAUCAAAUUAACAGACACAUAUUUGUUGAGCUCAUACUGUGCAUGAAGCUCUGAGUCCAGGGCUGUAUCACAUUUUCCAGCUGAAAAACCAGUGUGGAUGGCCUACUUGCGACUGGCUCAGAUUUCUAGAACGAUGUGGAUACUCCUCUCUGGUAGUAAUGGUGGGUGGAUGAAGACCUUGGAUUAAUUGUGCACACUUGAGGGUCUAUGAAUUAUCGGUCAUCCAUAUAUCAAAUGAAACAUUUCUGCCAUAUAUAUUUUGCCCAGAAAUAUAUUUAUAAUAUCAUCCAUCCAUUUCUAAUAGAAAUAAGAAAGGGAAGCUAGUUUUUAUAAUUUUUUUACACCCUUCAGUUGUUUGAAUACUUCUUUAUUGUGUACAUACAUUAUUUUUAUUGCAAAAUACGAAUUCACAAAAGGACACGUGCUCAUAAGUUAAUAUAUUUAAGACGACAUGUGUCUACCUUUUUAAUCAUUGCUGCGUGGACAUUUAUUUAUAUUAUUUAACAUACUUUCAUUUUUGCACGGGUCUGCUCAGGCUGCUCUGCAAAAUACCACACACUGGGUGGCUUAGACAACUGAAAUUUAGUCUCCCGUAGUUCUGCAGGUAGAAAGUACAAGGUCAAGGUGUAGACAGGUUUGAUUUCUCCCGAGGCCUCUCUCUUUGGUUUGCUGAUGGUCUCCUUCUCACUGUGUCCUCUAGUGGUCUUUUGGCUGUGUAUGGACAUCCCUGGUAUCUCUUCUUGCGUCCAAAUUCCCUCUUACAAGGACGCUAGGCAGACUGGAUUAGGCUCUGCCCGGAUGGCCUCAUUUGACCUUGAUUACCUCUGUAGAGGUCCUCUCUCUACAGUCCUAUUCUAAAGUACUGAGAGUUCAGCCUUUAACAUAUGAAUUUGGGGAGGGGAGCACAAUUCAGCCCCGAACAGUUCUCAUUAUCCUAUUUAUAACAUCAGAGUAAGUAAGUCCCUUUAUAGUAUUUGUAAAGGGCAUUUUAUGAAUUCCUCUUUACAUUAUUUGAACACUUUACCUUGUUGAUUAGAAUAAUAAUGAACGUUUAACAUUUAUUUAAUGCUUACUACCUGUCCAGCUGGCACUGAUUAUUUUAUUUGAAUUUUCGCAUUUAAGCUGCAGAUACUGCUAUCAUUCCCAUUGCACUGGCGGGAAGACUGAGAUUUGGAGAUGUUCGUGGGCUCGCCAAGUUCACGACUAGCACCUGCCUGCACAAGAGCUCUGUAAGCCGGCACUGUAGCCGCUAUGGGAUUUCUUGGGAGACGGGCAAGUGGAUACUUCCCUUACCAGGUUUUAAUCUCCUAGAUGGCAGCUCCCCAUAUUCCUCUUUAUCUUUCUAGCAUUUUAGUUCAGUGCCUGGCAAAUACUUGGUACUCAAUUCAUACUGAGUGAUGCUGGGUGGUUUAAAUCACUGGUAUUUUCUUCUGAAAGAUAAGGACACUAACUGCUCCAUUUAAGAGUGAAAUGACCUGGUAACGUUUGUAGGAAAAACAGAGAAACACAUGUUGGGUCUUCUUCUAAAAAUACUUGUUAGGGGUGCCUGGGUGGUUCUGUUGGUGAGGCGACCUUGCUUUCUGCUCAGGUCAUGGAUCUCACAGUUCCUGGGAUCAGACCCCAUGGGGCUCUGUGCUGUCAGCAGGGAGCCUACCGGGAUUCUGUCUCUCUUCCUCUCUCUGCCCCUCGCCUGCUCGCGCUUACUUGCUCUCUCCCCCGAAAUAUUAAAAGAACAAAAAAAAAACUUAUUAGAGUUCUCUGAAAAGAACACCCCAACUCAGAGCUUCCCCCACCCCUGGCAAUCAGAUAUUUAUUUAAUAACUCAGAGCCAGUUUGAUAUUAAGGGAACUUAGUGUUAUUUUCAGAAUAGCCACAACAGUAUUUUAAAAUUUAUAAUGAAGGGGAACCUGGGUGGCUCAGUCAGUUGAGCCACCGACUCUUGAUCUCUGCUAAGGUUGUGAUCUUGCAAUUUUGUGAGUUCAAGCCCCGUGUCAGGCUGUAUGCUGAUGGCAGAGAGCCUGCUUGGGAUUCUGUCUCUCCUUCUCUCUCCCUCCCGCAUUUGUGCUCUCACUCUUGCUCUCUCUCUCUCUCUCUCAAAAUAAAUAAAUAAACUUUAAAAGUUAUUAAAAUUGGGGCACCUGGGUGGCUCAGUUGGUCGAGCGUCUGUCUCAGCUCAGGUCACGAUCUCACAGUCAUGCGUUCAAGCCCAGCCUCAGGCUUGGUGCUGCAUGUGGAGCCUGCUUGAGACGAUCUCUCCCUCUUUCUCUUUUUCUCUCUCUGUCUCUCUCCCUCUGCCGCUGUCCCCCACUUGCACACACACACACACUCUCUCUCUUUUUAAGAAAAAAAAAAGAAUAAAAAAUAUUAAAAUCUAUAAUAAAAAAACCUACCUCUGCAGGCAAGCAAUUAACAUGAUGUGUGUCUGCAAACUUGAAGAUCACGAAUGCACCUGGGCUUUGCCGGUUGUGUCCCUGCACCACCUCCCCAUGUGCUUUCACGUUUUGGACGGUUUCGGCUUCAGCUCUGAACGGAGGGCCCUGGGGUCUCAGGGAGCUUUCUGUUAGAAUCCGACUCAUUGUUGUUCCUCCUUCAACCGUCUGGAUACGCCUGUGAGGAAAUGGGAAGCAGCAGUGCUUUAUCAAAGCACAGAAUGAUGAAAUCCUAAGCCCUUCAAAGGAUUCCUAGUUUUUCCACUUAGAAAUCAAAUGGGAUCGUGUUACUCUUUGCCCCUUUUAUUGUAGCCAAUUCUGUGUUGACUUAAUAGGCCUUCUUUGACUUUUCAUCUUGUAAAAAUAGGAUAGAGGCUGUUUACUGGUAAUUUCUUAAACGCAGAGGUGUUUCACCUUGGUCUAAAUAGGUGUUGUCAAUGGAUGCACCUGCUCAAAAGACACAUAUUUGCAUAUUUUUAUACAUACACGUAAAACCCACUAGUUCUGCCACUUAAUACAUGUUUUAAAGAAAUAAUUUUAUCUUUUUUUUUUUUUUACCAUUUAAUUUGCUUAUCUGGAGGCAGUAAGUCUGAAUGAUUUCAGAGGUAACCUGGAGAAAUAAAUUGCAGUUUGGAAAGAAGCUUAAGUGUCUGCUGAAGGAUUUUAUAAUUGAUAUUAUUUUUGUUUCCACCAACAGACUAUGGAAAGUAAUAGAAAAAAUCAUAAGUGAACAAGGUCCACGCCUCGUGCUCAACGGUUCAAGUGUAAUUCUGUUUCAAUAUACAUGCCUUAAGUUCAAUUCUGGAUGUGAUUGGACCCACAAAAGGCAGGGACUCCACGAACUCAUUACAAUCAAAUGGGACUUGAAUUCUCUUGUCUAAUGUCAUAAUAAGCAAUUAUGAGCAUCUUCUCAGGCAUUCAAAUAGGGUAAUAGUGAAACCCUAGAGAGACAUUAUAUGCUGGCAGACUCUGGCUGAUGUGAUGUGCAUAUGCUCGAUGGACCCCUAAAGGCACGAUGGGUAGCUAGAUGCCAGGGCAAAUUGCCCUCGGUAUUUAGGGUAGACACUACCUUCAAUUACGACUUGUGUUUUAUAAGCUGAGCCGUUAUAAUAAUAUGUGUGUUCAUUCUCGAGAAUUCUCUGUGGCAACAGAACAAACAGCCUUUCUCAUCCAUUUCCCAUUUUCAUGAGAGAACAGCAAAUGAAACUUGUCUUUUAACUUCACAUUUCUCUGAUGGCGGAGUCUGGGAAGAUACAAGUUGCGGCUCUAUGCUGCCAUUUCAUUAAGUUAAAUGUGCUUUUGUCCACUCUGGGAAAGGUAGCAGAUUUUGCAUUACCAGGGGGACUAUUUGAAGAGAUAAUUAGAUAAGUAAAUACUCGCCAACCUGCGCCAAGAUGUUGAGUAGAGCCUGUUACUUAUUGGAAAUUUCCCCUGCAAACAAAUUUUACUGAAUUGUCGUCUUCUUUUCAGCUGAGUCCUUGGAGCAACAUGAGAUGAUCUCUCUCUUUUUCCACUAGUUAGAAAAGGAGGUUCAACCAGAUGACUUCUAAGGGAGAUUCCUGCUCAAAAUGUAUGAGUCAACGAAAUAGUGAUAAGAUGGCAUUAAUACAUACUGUAGAAUUAUCUAAAUUGGAUAUCUGUAGAAGAAUGUACUUUCCAUAAGGACCCAGGCUACAUGAUACGAGUAAAAUAGAAAUUUGGGCCAAAUUUAAUAGUUGUAAAACAAGUCUCAGUAUUAGAAGAAAAAAUUAAUGUAAAGAAAAGCAUAAAGAAAUGGGAAUGGUUUGCAGAAAUUAUUGAUAUUAUUUUCACGUAUCCCUAAUUGGCACCUUACCUGCUUCCAAAAAUAAGGUAUAUAGUACACAUUGAAAAUGAAACCACUGUAGGGGCGCCUGGGUGGCUCAGCGGUUGAGCGUCUGACCGGCUCAGGUCACGAUCUCACGGUUCGUGGGUUUGAGCCCCGCGUCGGAACCUGGAGCCUGCUUCAGAUUCUGUGUCCCCCUCUCUCUCCGCCCCACCCCUGCUUGUGCUCUGUCUCUCUCUGUCUUUCAAAAAUGAAUAAACAUAAAAAAAAUUUAGAAUAUUAAACCACUGCAGACACUCUAAAUGUAUAGACUGAGCUGUAAACUUCUUAUUUAAAGAUGUUACAUCUAUUCACUUUCCCUUCAGCAAAAUCAAUGUAGUUAUUUUGUUUGUCUUAACCAGAUCAGCCUGCUGCAUGGUUGGUCUGAUCUGUGAUGGCAGCGUUAGUCACUGAAACAGAAGCCUGGUGUGGACAUCCAUGCAACAAGCGUCAGACUGUCCUCCGAACCAAACCUCAGCUGCAUCCCAAGUAGUAUCUUCGAUGCAGGCAAAUCAUUAAGGGAUUCCAUUUUGGCUCUUUUUAACCAUCAAAGUUGUAGAUCCAUGAAGUGAGUGCAAAACUAAAUAACAAAUUAAAUCUUUAGCCAGAAGGAAAGCAAACACUCUUCUCCCUAGAAACUUGGGAAGUGUCAUGCCCACUUAGCAAGCCUUUUACAAUGAGUGCCCCCCACUGGGGUAGUGGGGUUCAGCAGUCAGCCACAUUGAAAAUUUGGGUAACUGGAGCCAAGAAUUCUCAACAUAGCCAGGAAAUGCAAAGACCUACUUCUCCCAGAAAUGUAAGCUCAAAAUAGAGUAUUCUUUCGUAUAGUGAACUCACAUCAUGGGAUAUGUAUCUCCUUUUUUAAUCCUAAGAAAUUCAAAGAAAAUGAAAAACAAAAACUACAAAGAGAUUUAUAACAGAGCAUAAAGUUGGUGUGAGAUCUACCUGCCUAAAAAAAUGCCUGGUGUUCCAUAGUCUAA